UGUCCAAGUGUGCUAGACAAAUGGCUAGGUAGGCAGGGCAUGGAAAAGAAAGAAUAAAGCAGUCUUACAAAAGGAACAGAACAGCCAGAUUCAGGUUGUGGUUGACAAGAAACCUGCUUUGCAGCCAAUUCUGGGAAGGAACUCCUUCUGGAGUCACACAACCAUUGGCAGAGACUUUAUCUCCUUUCUGAGCCCCACAGCCUCUGGGCUCAACUGUGGACAUUGGCAAGGAGCAGUGCUAGCUCCACAUGCCACCUGACUGCUCCCAUGAAGACACUCACAACCUCUGCUAGACUCACUACUGAAACUGAAGCCCAACUGAGGGAAGACGCCUCUAUGCAGCCUGCACUGCUCAGAAAUCGAUGGGAUUCAAAAGUACUUAAAUAGAGGGCUAUUUACUUCCUGAAGAAUGAAGAAGACAGUAGAGAUAAAGAUGGCACUGAAAAGAAAUAAGUUAUCAAGUUGUAAAAACGCAUGGAGAACCCAAAACUGCAUUUUACUAAGUGAAAGGAGGCUGGGAUGGAGAAGCUAAAAUGCUCAUCGGUUGUGGUGGAAAAGUAAAGGACGAAGGGAUGGAGGCAAAAGACAGAGCACUCUUAAGGAGGUAAUGCUACUCAAGAUGAUUUGAUAAUUGUGGCUACUAUCAUUAUACAUUUGUCAAGAUCGGCAGAAACUCACGUGAACUAGGGACUUGACUUUGGAU
rnacentral:lncRNA from 1 species